UCGAGAAUCUUUUGCAAUGGGCGAAAGCCUGACAAAGCAACGCCGCGUGAGUGAUGAAAGUCUUCGGAUUGUAAAACUCUGUCAUCUGGGACGAAACGAUUUGGCGCUAAUAUCGCCAGAUUUUGACGGUACCAGAGGAGGAAGCCCCGGCUAACUUCGUGCCAGCAGCCGCGGUAAUACGAAGGGGGCAAGCGUUGUUCGGAUGUAUUGGGCGUAACGGGUGCGUAGGUGGUUGUACAAGUCGGAUGUGAAAACCCUUGGCUUAACCAAGGACCUGCAUUCGAAACUGUACGGCUUGAGUACAGAGGAGGUGAGUGGAAUUCUCAGUGUAGCGGUGAAAUGCGUAGAUAUUGAGAAGAACACCUGUGGCGAAAGCGGCUCACUACUCUAGUACUGACACUGAGGCACGAAAGUUAGGGGAGCAAACG
rnacentral:rRNA from 1 species